rnacentral:rRNA from 1 species
UGGGGAAUCUUGCGCAAUGGGCGAAAGCCUGACGCAGCCAUGCCGCGUGAAUGAUGAAGGUCUUAGGAUUGUAAAAUUCUUUCACCGGGGACGAUAAUGACGGUACCCGGAGAAGAAGCCCCGGCUAACUUCGUGCCAGCAGCCGCGGUAAUACGAAGGGGGCUAGCGUUGCUCGGAAUUACUGGGCGUAAAGGGCGCGUAGGCGGACAUUUAAGUCAGGGGUGAAAUCCCAGAGCUCAACUCUGGAACUGCCUUUGAUACUGGGUGUCUUGAGUGUGAGAGAGGUAUGUGGAACUCCGAGUGUAGAGGUGAAAUUCGUAGAUAUUCGGAAGAACACCAGUGGCGAAGGCGACAUACUGGCUCAUUACUGACGCUGAGGCGCGAAAGCGUGGGGAGCAAACAGGAUUAGAUACCCCAGUAGUCCCUGAGCGGGCUGGCAAGGCGCAU